AAAACCUUUAUGAAAGACACAUAAUUCUUACCCAUCCAGAAUUAAAAAGGCUCUUGGAAACAGAAACAGGAAAAUGAAGAUGUGAUUGCUAGCACCUUUGAGAAAACAACAAGAUUUGGGCAAAAAAGCAUUGAUAACUGUGUUUUCAGCAAGGAAAUGAAGAUUUCAGAAGGGGAGAUGUUAGAGUUCAGUGGGACAUCUGCCUCUAGAAGACUUGGACAUGUUGGUAAUAUAUGGUUUAAUAGCCUUCAAAAUAAGCUGAAAGGUACCACUGCCUUGAGGCUCAAGUGAAAGUCGCUGAUUUUAGCUAAGUUGGUACGCUGUCCAUUUACCUUCUCAUGGCUAUGUAUGCAAUGAGGGCUUUUGCAUUGCUGUUGGAGCAGAAAAGAUGGAAAAAAGAAUGGACUAGUGAAAUUUUCAUCAUCUUGUACGGUAAUAAAAGAACAGUGCAGGUGUGUUCUUAAAUUUGACAAGGAAAAAUAUCAGCACAAAAAAUGUCAAGCAUGAUUGCUCAGCAAUGAUUUCUGAAAGUACAGAGGGAUACAAAGAUGAUGAUCAACAACUCUUAAGAGUCGUUAAGGAAUGGACCAAUGAUUUGGUCCCUUUCUCCCUCAGAAGUCAACAGACCAGAUGAUCCGUUCCUCUGUAUUGACCGAUCUCCCACCUCAGUUGACUUUCUAUUGGCCUGGAGGAAACUCAGCUUGCUCUCCUCUGCAUCAUUCUUGCUUGCCCUCGUACAACUAGGAAGGUGCGGUGGGGACUUAACACCGACCAAUGGUAGCACAACUUCAGCUGAGCUGCUAGAAGUGGGACGUACAAAGCUGGACGUGCUCCAGCGCUUGCUUUGUUGGACCAGUGAACAGGGCCGUUGCUCGAGUUUCACCGCGUGGGAACAACAGGCUCAAGCAGUCACGCAGGGGACUUCUAGCUCAACAGUGUUCUU